rnacentral:rRNA from 1 species
UGGGGAAUAUUGGACAAUGGGCGGAAGCCUGAUCCAGCAACGCCGCGUGAGGGAUGACGGCCUUCGGGUUGUAAACCUCUUUCAGUACCGACGAAGCGAAAGUGACGGUAGGUACAGAAGAAGGACCGGCCAACUACGUGCCAGCAGCCGCGGUAAUACGUAGGGUCCGAGCGUUGUCCGGAAUUAUUGGGCGUAAAGGGCUCGUAGGCGGUUUGUCGCGUCGGGAGUGAGAACCAUGGGCUUAACUCAUGGCUUGCUUUCGAUACGGGCAGACUAGAGGUAUGCAGGGGAGAAUGGAAUUCCUGGUGUAGCGGUGAAAUGCGCAGAUAUCAGGAGGAACACCGGUGGCGAAGGCGGUUCUCUGGGCAUUACCUGACGCUGAGGAGCGAAAGUGUGGGGAGCGAACAGG